UACGUAGGGGGCAAGCGUUGUCCGGAUUUAUUGGGCGUAAAGCGCUCGCAGGUGGUUCAUUGCGUCGUGCGUGAAAGACCCCGGCUCAACUGGGGAGGGUCGUGCGAAACGGGUGAACUAGAGGCCAGUAGGGGGAUGCGGAAUUCCGGGUGUAGUGGUGGAAUGCGUAGAGAUCCGGAGGAACACCGGUGGCGAAGGCGGAUCUCUGGGCCUUGCCUGACGCUGAGGCGCGAAAGCUAGGGGAGCGAACAGG
rnacentral:rRNA from 1 species